CACGUAGGCGGAUUGGAAAGUUGGGGUGAAAUCCCGGGGCUCAACCCCGGAACUGCCUUCAAAACUCCCAGUCUUGAGUUCGAGAGAGGUGAGUGGAAUUCCGAGUGUAGAGGUGAAAUUCGUAGAUAUUCGGAGGAACACCAGUGGCGAAGGCGGCUCACUGGCUCGAUACUGACGCUGAGGUGCGAAAGCGUGGGGAGCAAAUA
rnacentral:rRNA from 1 species